CUGAAACCGUGUGCCUACAAUCCGUCGGAGCCUCCUUGUGGGGUGACGGCGUGCCUUUUGAAGAAUGAGCCUGCGAGUUAGUGCUCAGUGGCGAGGUUAACCCGUGUGGGGAAGCCGUAGCGAAAGCGAGUCCGAAUAGGGCGUUUUAGUCGCUGGGUCUAGACCCGAAGCGGAGUGAUCUACCCAUGGCCAGGUUGAAGCGACGGUAAGACGUCGUGGAGGACCGAACCCACUUAGGUUGAAAACUGAGGGGAUGAGCUGUGGGUAGGGGUGAAAGGCCAAUCAAACUCCGUGAUAGCUGGUUCUCCCCGAAAUGCAUUUAGGUGCAGCGUCACGUGUUUCUUACCGGAGGUAGAGCUACUGGAUAGCUGAUGGGCCUCACCAGGUUACUGACGUUAGCCAAACUCCGAAUGCCGGUAAGUGAGAGCGUGGCAGUGAGACUGCGGGGGAUAAGCUCCGUAGUCGAGAGGGAAACAGCCCAGACCACCAUCUAAGGUCCCUAAGCGUGUGCUAAGUGGGAAAGGAUGUGGAGUUGCAUUGACAACCAGGAGGUUGGCUUAGAAGCAGCCACCCUUUAAAGAGUGCGUAAUAGCUCACUGGUCAAGUGAUUCCGCGCCGACAAUGUAGCGGGGCUCAAGCACACCACCGAAGCUGUGGCAUUGACACACUGCUCGGCCAGUUUUCCUGCGGGGUUCUGGUCCAGGCGUGUUGAUGGGUAGGGGAGCGUCGUGUGGCCAGGGAAGCGGCGGAGUGAUCCAGCCGUGGAGGC
rnacentral:rRNA from 1 species